rnacentral:rRNA from 1 species
GACGAACGCUGGCGGCGUGCUUAACACAUGCAAGUCGAACGGAAAGGCCCUGCUUUUGUGGGGUGCUCGAGUGGCGAACGGGUGAGUAACACGUGAGUAACCUGCCCUUGACUUUGGGAUAACUUCAGGAAACUGGGGCUAAUACCGGAUAGGAGCUCCUGCUGCAUGGUGGGGGUUGGAAAGUUUCGGCGGUUGGGGAUGGACUCGCGGCUUAUCAGCUUGUUGGUGGGGUAGUGGCUUACCAAGGCUUUGACGGGUAGCCGGCCUGAGAGGGUGACCGGCCACAUUGGGACUGAGAUACGGCCCAGACUCCGAAGGGAGGCAGCAGUGGGGAAUAUUGAACAAUGGGCGGAAGAAUGAUGCAGCAACGCCGCGUGCGGGAUGACGGACUUCGGGUUGUAAACCGCUUUCGCCUGUGACGAAGCGUGAGUGACGGUAAUGGGUAAAGAAGCACCGGCUAACUACGUG